AAGGUAACGGCUUACCAAGGCAACGAUGCAUAGCCGACCUGAGAGGGUGAUCGGCCACACUGGAACUGAGACACGGUCCAGACUCCUACGGGAGGCAGCAGUAGGGAAUCUUCCGCAAUGGGCGAAAGCCUGACGGAGCAACGCCGCGUGAGUGAUGAAGGUCUUCGGAUCGUAAAACUCUGUUAUUAGGGAAGAACAUAUGUGUAAGUAACUGUGCACAUCUUGACGGUACCUAAUCAGAAAGCCACGGCUAACUACGUGCCAGCAGCCGCGGUAAUACGUAGGUGGCAAGCGUUAUCCGGAAUUAUUGGGCGUAAAGCGCGCGUAGGCGGUUUUUUAAGUCUGAUGUGAAAGCCCACGGCUCAACCGUGGAGGGUCAUUGGAAACUGGAAAACUUGAGUGCAGAAGAGGAAAGUGGAAUUCCAUGUGUAGCGGUGAAAUGCGCAGAGAUAUGGAGGAACACCAGUGGCGAAGGCGACUUUCUGGUCUGUAACUGACGCUGAUGUGCGAAAGCGUGGGGAUCAAACAGGAUUAGAUACCCUGGUAGUCCACGCCGUA
rnacentral:rRNA from 1 species